CACGUAGGGUGCGAGCGUUGUCCGGAAUUAUUGGGCGUAAAGAGCUCGUAGGUGGUUUGUCGCGUUGUCCGUGAAAACUCACAACUCAAUUGUGGGCGUGCGGGCGAUACGGGCAGACUGGAGUACUGCAGGGGAGACUGGAAUUCCUGGUGUAGCGGUGAAAUGCGCAGAUAUCAGGAGGAACACCGGUGGCGAAGGCGGGUCUCUGGGCCGUAACUGACGCUGAGGAGCGAAAGCAUGGGGAGCGAACAGG
rnacentral:rRNA from 1 species